GACGAACGCUGGCGGCGUGCUUAACACAUGCAAGUCGAACGAUGAAGCUCCUUCGGGAAUGGAUUAGUGGCGAACGGGUGAGGAACACGUGAGAAACCUGCCUUUCAUUUUGGGAUAACUCCGGGAAACCGGGGCUAAAACCGAAUACUCCGUCUCGGCGGCAUCGCUGAGCCGGGAAAAAAUUUUGAUGAAAGAUGGUCUCGCGGCCUAUCAGCUAGUUGGUGAGGUAAUGGCUCACCAAGGCAACGACGGGUAGCCGGCCUGAGAGGGCGACCGGCCACACUGGGACUGAGACACGGCCCAGACUCCUACGGGAGGCAGCAGUGGGGAAUAUUGGGCAAUGGGCGCAAGCCUGACCCAGCGACGCCGCGUGAGGGAUGAAGGCCUUCGGGUUGUAAACCUCUUUCAGUAGGGAAGAAGCGAAAGUGACGGUACCUAAAGAAGAAGCACCGGCUAACUAUGUGCCAGCCGCCGCAGUAA
rnacentral:rRNA from 1 species